AAAAAAAAAAAAAACGAACCGACACUGCUGUGACGCCGGUGUGUACGACGAAAAACCGAGAACGAAGACGACGCGGAGUUAUUCGAUUUGUAUACGCGAUCGCCGUACGAAUCGUCACUAACGAAAUACGAUCCUGAAUGAAGUGUUCGGUUAAACGUUUUGAAAUGCCGUGAUAUUUUUUACCAUUUCCGUUCCGUUAAGAUUUAAAAAACCAUAUAAAAAUAAAACAAACCGCUUUAUUGCGCUCGAAUUUGUUUUUUCUUACCACUAAUUUAUGACGGUUUAAAACAAAUUAAACUCAAAGGUGAAGAAUUUCUACGAAUAGCUUAACAAACAAUAAACAAUGGUGUAAACCGCGAUUUUACCACGUUUAAAAAAAUCCACUAGAAGUAAUCUGUAAACAUCCCAGGUCUCUAUGAUUACGUUUAACCGAACAACAAACAAAAAACAAAAUCGAAAAUAAUCAAAUAAUUAUUGCCAUACAAUUUCCCCGUUUUUUUUACGUUUUAACCAAUUUGUUUCCAUUUUUUUUUUCAUCACGCCAGUAUUACAUAAAUCCAUGUGAACAAGAUCGAGUAUCGACGUUAACGACAAUCGUUCGACUGUGCCCCGGGAAUUGCACGUACACAUAAUACGCGUUUGGAAGGCCGUGAGUUUUCGGUAAAGGUUUGGUGUAAAGACGUAUGGAGUAUAUUGUACGACGACGAAAUUGGAGGGAGAGAAAGCCGAAUAACUCUUGUAUUAUACCGAAACGAUAUUGAAUGGCAAGCGACGACCGUUUUAUACGUGAGCGAUGUUUUAUACCGACGGUUGAUACUGAUGGGUUCACUGAAUCCAAAAAAAUACGCUUGAAGCGAUUUGGAAUUAUACAGUAAAAGCAUUUUAUUAGCAGUGACGGAUUUAACCACCAACACCUUCACCCGACACGCCGAAAUAAACUACGUACCGCUUUUUUACGGAAAAAAGACAUUUUAAUUUUCCGCGUUUUUUUACGUUAUUUAUUUGGUAGGUACUCUGUGGAUAUCACUGUUAAACCAAUCAAAAAUGCUUGAAAAUUUAACAAAAAGUUUAUUAUAAGUCGCACUUUGCGAUCAAAAAUACAAAUUGAUUGUAAUGUAGAAUUUUUUUCUUAAGAAUUUCAAAACGCGUAUAAUUGAACUCCACUCAGAAUCUUUUUACGUUAGCAGUGAUUAAUCAAUGCGUUCAGAUAUACAUUAAAUUUCUGUUUAUCCUGCCUUCCUAGCUUCUCACGUACAACAGUUGCUCACCCAUCGUGGGAAGUACAUCCGUUUAUUAUAAAAAAACAUUAAUAGAACGUUUUUAAAAAUGUUUUUUACAUCUACCUUGCUUGUGUUAACUACACGUUGUUGAUAAUAUACCCGUGUAUAUACGGUCAUUGAAUAUAGACGCGUUUUGAUAAAUAUUCCCCAAUGAUUUUCUGUACGUUUCGCGGGGUCGAAAUUGAUCGAUCGGAUUAACAGUUUGAAAAUGGGUUGAUAUUUAUCAGGGUUUUAAUGAAUACUACUUUAAAGUGUGUACCACGUAUUUAAUGUACACAGCUACUUGAUUGUGUAUACGUUUUAAACUGUAUAAAAAUAUUUAUGUAUCAGUUAAUUAAUUAAGGUAAUGUUUUAGCUUUGAUGCGGAACUGAGAAGGUACGUUGGUUUUGAAAUGAAGCGGUUUUUAUUUAUUUUUAUCCGGUCGAACCGUACAGUUUAUUUAAACAGUAAACACUUUAAUAUUAAUACCGAAUUGAAAAUGCCGAUACAAUAUUGCACAGAUACACGUUACAUAAAACAUAAAUCAAACAAUUGAUGAACACUAAUUAAAAUAAAUAUAGUACUUGAUAAAUAUUGAACAAAUAUAGAUUGCAAUGAAAAAUAAAAAGUAAAUAUGCGCAUAAUAUGUUUUAAUGGUUAUCUAUAAUUGUACUUGCUUUGUACACGCAUAUUAUCGACCACGGUAUCAAAUAAAACAUCCGAAUAUUGAGUGUUUUUACGUAUUGAAUAACACGAAAACAAACAGGAUCAUCAUAUGUUUCGUUACCAUAAUGGUUUCACGGGAAAUUAAUACAGUGGUGUCCCGUUGUUGUCUGCGUCGCAGUGACGUCUCUUAUUUUAAACGAACGCCCCGUCGUUUAAGUAUAAAAAAAAAAAAAAUUAACCCUCGACACCGAUUCCUGCUCCCGGGCCCAUUUUAGUCGUCUCUACGAGCACGGACUGCCGAAGGUGUACUCUGGCUGGUCGACCGCGGAGCAAAGAUCGA